rnacentral:lncRNA from 1 species
UAUAUGUGCCUCUGUAGUUUCCUAUGUGUCACAUUAACUGUGAACUUACCAUGCAUAUUAGUCAUCAUUCCACAAUUGUGAUAUAAUACCUGGUAUCAAUCAACAUAAAAAAAAAAAGAGAAGGUUAAUUUGCUCAUGAUUUUUUUUUCAGUUUGGCAUAAUCACUUUUGGCCUGGCAUAUAGAACUUCAUCAUGGAUGAAGAGUGUAGCACAAGAGGGUUUGUUGUACAUCAUAGUAUUUUAUUGGUGUGAAGAGAUACAAUGACCAAGAAUGAAUUCCUCUAGAUCAUGUAAAGUGAAUUAAAGUGUAUGGGAAGUUGUGAAGAGAAAGAAAAGGAGCACCGUAGAUGAACUGAAAGAAGAGCAUUCGUGAGUACUGUGUGGUAUUGACAACAUGAAGCCACAGAAAGUGAAUAUUACUCAGAUGUCUGGAACAAGACCAUGUUACAUAGUUCUGACUACAUUGUCUUCACAUCAAUUUUGUCAGGGGUGUCUGCAGAGCAGCUCAGAACCAAUUCAGUCGUGCCUCCAACCCACCCAGUGGCUUGCGCUGUGGGAGCUGCUGACCAGGCUGGCUGUGUGCUCCAGUCUUCCAUGGAGAACCGCUGGAUGGACACAGAGGGCACUUGCACACCCUCAGACCAGUCGGCAAUCUCAGGUUGAGCAGCAGUGAACUCAGGAGCUGGUGCAGUCCAUUCACCCUGGAAUUCCUUUUUGGUCACAGCCUUCUCAGCAUCAGCCUGUUCCUCCUUCUCAAUCUUCUCUGGGUCUCUGUAGAAGUAAAGAUCAGGCAUAACCUCCCAUGGGUGCCCACUGGAGAUAGUACCUCACAUGUGGAGUAUAUCCCUGGCCAGUGUCCACCACAUCAG